rnacentral:rRNA from 1 species
UACAGAGGGUGCGAGCGUUAAUCGGAAUUACUGGGCGUAAAGCGCGCGUAGGCGGUUUGCAAGUCGGGUGUGAAAUCCCCAGGCUUAACCUGGGAACUGCAUUCGAGACUGCAUUACUAGAGUAUGGGAGAGGGAAGUGGAAUUUCCGGUGUAGCGGUGAAAUGCGUAGAUAUCGGAAGGAACAUCAGUGGCGAAAGCGACUUCCUGGACCAAUACUGA